rnacentral:rRNA from 1 species
GAUGAACGCUGGCGGCGUGCCUAAUACAUGCAAGUCGAGCGAACAGACGAGGAGCUUGCUCCUCUGACGUUAGCGGCGGACGGGUGAGUAACACGUGGAUAACCUACCUAUAAGACUGGGAUAACUUCGGGAAACCGGAGCUAAUACCGGAUAAUAUAUUGAACCGCAUGGUUCAAUAGUGAAAGACGGUUUUGCUGUCACUUAUAGAUGGAUCCGCGCCGCAUUAGCUAGUUGGUAAGGUAACGGCUUACCAAGGCAACGAUGCGUAGCCGACCUGAGAGAGUGAUCGGCCACACUGGAGCGUAGACACGGUCCAGACGCCUGCGGGAGGCAGCAGUAGGGAAUCUUCCGCAAUGGGCGAAAGUCUGACGGAGCAACGCCGCGUGAGUGAUGAAGGUCUUCGGAUCGUAAAACUCUGUUAUGAGUGAAGAACAAAUGUGUAAGGAACUAUGCACGUCUUGACGGUACCUAAUCAGAAAGCCACGGCUAACUACGUG